GAUGAACGCUAGCGGCAGGCCCAAUACAUGCAAGUCGAACGGGAUCCAGAUCAAAGCUUGCUUUGGUUUGGUGAGAGUGGCGCACGGGUGCGUAACGCGUGAGCAACCUACCCUUGUCAGGGGGAUAGCCCGGCGAAAGUCGGAUUAAUACCGCAUGACAUCAUUGAGAGGCAUCUUUCGAUGAUCAAAGAUUUAUCGGACAAGGAUGGGCUCGCGUGACAUUAGCUAGUUGGUAAGGUAACGGCUUACCAAGGCUACGAUGUCUAGGGGCUCUGAGAGGAGAAUCCCCCACACUGGUACUGAGACACGGACCAGACUCCUACGGGAGGCAGCAGUAAGGAAUAUUGGUCAAUGGACGGAAGUCUGAACCAGCCAUGCCGCGUGCAGGAAGACGGCCCUAUGGGUUGUAAACUGCUUUUAUACGGGAACAAACGUCGGUACGUGUACCGGUCUGAGUGUACCGGAAGAAUAAGGAUCGGCUAACUCCGUG
rnacentral:rRNA from 1 species